GAUGAACGCUAGCUACAGGCUUAACACAUGCAAGUCGAGGGGAAACGACAUCGAAAGCUUGCUUUUGAUGGGCGUCGACCGGCGCACGGGUGAGUAACGCGUAUCCAACCUGCCCACCACUUGGGGAUAACCUUGCGAAAGUAAGACUAAUACCCAAUGACGUCUCUAGAAGACAUCUGAAAGGGAUUAAAGAUUUAUCGGUGAUGGAUGGGGAUGCGUCUGAUUAGCUUGUUGGCGGGGUAACGGCCCACCAAGGCGACGAUCAGUAGGGGUUCUGAGAGGAAGGUCCCCCACAUUGGAACUGAGACACGGUCCAAACUCCUACGGGAGGAAGCAGUGAGGAAUAUUGGUCAAUGGACGAGAGUCUGAACCAGCCAAGUAGCGUGCAGGAUGACGGCCCUAUGGGUUGUAAACUGCUUUUAUAAGGGAAUAAAGUGAGUCUCGUGAGACUUUUUGCAUGUACCUUAUGAAUAAGGACCGGCUAAUUCCGUG
rnacentral:rRNA from 1 species